rnacentral:rRNA from 1 species
AGAACCCCGGCGAGGGGAGUGAAAAAGAACCUGAAACCGUGUACGUACAAGCAGUGGGAGCCCCACCACUAAGCCAGUGGUGAACUCCACAUACGCAUCCUUUGCUGAGGAUACGGUUAACGGAGCGCAAGCGACGUUCAACCGCAAAAGAAGCAGAGGGGGCUUAGUGGUGGGGUGACUGCGUACCUUUUGUAUAAUGGGUCAGCGACUUAUAUUCUGUAGCAAGGUUAACCGUAUAGGGGAGCCGCAGGGAAACCGAGUCUUAACCGGGCGUUAAGUUGCAGGGUAUAGACCCGAAACCCGGUGAUCUAGCCAUGGGCAGGUUGAAGGUUGGGUAACACUAACUGGAGGACCGAACCGACUAAUGUUGAAAAA